rnacentral:rRNA from 1 species
CCUUCGGUUUCUGUACGGAGCGGCGAAAGGGUGAGUAAUGCGUAGGCAAUCUACCCGAGAGCCCGGGAUAACUACUGGAAACGGUGGCUAAUACCGGAUGGCCCUGGUUGGUGGCAUCACCGACCUGGUAAAGGGGGGGAUCUUCGGACCUCUCUCUCUCGGAGGAGCCUACGUCCUAUCAGCUAGUUGGUGGGGUAACGGCCCACCAAGGCGAUGACGGGUAGCCGGGCUGAGAGGUUGGCCGGCCACACUGGGACUGAGACACUGCCCAGACUCCUACGGGAGGCUGCAGUCGAGAAUCAUCCGCAAUGGGCGAAAGCCUGACGGUGCAACGCCGCGUGGAGGACGAAGGCCUUCGGGUUGUAAACUCCUGUCACGUGAUGAGAAAUGCAGGAUGCUAACAUCAUCCUGUCUGACAACUCAUGAGAGGAAGUCACGGCUAACUCUGUGCCAGCAGCCGCGGUAAUACAGAGGUGGCAAGCGUUGUUCGGAAUCACUGGGCAUAAAGGGCGCGUAGGCGGUCGAUUUAGUCGGUUGUGAAAGCCCUCGGCUCAACCGAGGAACUGCAUCCGAUACUGGUCGGCUAGAGUGUGGAAGGGGAGAGUGGAACUCCUGGUGGAGCGGUGAAAAGCGUAGAUAUCAGGAGGAACGCCGGUGGCGAAAGCGACUCUCUGGUCCAUAACUGACGCUGAGGCGCGAAAGCCAGGGGAGCAAACGGGAUUAGAUACCCCGGUAGUCCUGGCCCUAAACGAUGGGCACUAGGUAGUGGGGGGUCCGAUCUUCUCACUGCCGGAGCAAAUGUGUUAAGUGCCCCGCCUGGGGAGUACAGUCGCAAGGCCGAAACUCAAAGGAAUUGACGGGGGCUCACACAAGCGGUGGAGGAUGUUGCUUAAUUCGAAGCAACGCGAAGAACCUUACCUGGGCUUGACAUGGAUGUGGUACGGACCCGAAAGGGCGAGGACCCGGUUUUCCGGGAGCAUUCACAGGUGUUGCAUGGCUGUCGUCAGCUCGUGUCGUGAGAUGUUGGGUUAAGUCCCGUAACGAGCGAAACCCUUAUCGUUAGUUGCCAGCGGGUAAUGCCGGGGACUCUAGCGAGACUGCCGGUGUCAAACCGGAGGAAGGUGGGGACGACGUCAAGUCAUCAUGGCCCUUACGCCCAGGGCUGCAAACGUCCUACAAUGGUCGGUACAAAGGGAUGCAAUACCGCAAGGU